UGCUUUUCCCACGCAGCCUCUUUCAUCGGCCACUAAACCGUGAGUGUCUAACUCACUGUUCUUCAGUCUCUUAAAAAAAGAAAAAAAAUAUAUAAAAAUUACAAAAUAUAUAAAACCUUCAUAAAAAACUAUUUCAAGACUUAACAUAAAAAAGGAAAAAAAAAAUACAAAAAACGCAUACAUUAUACAGGCUGUUUAUUUUCCUCUUUCUUUUUUGUUUGCAAAACAAAACAGAAGGCCUCGGGCUUUAGCCGACGUUAACGGGAAAAGUCAUACCAAAGAAAAAAACUACUUUGAAGAUACACUGGAUUCACUGGCGUUCUAUCCUUGUCAUAUCUGCCGGUAUUCAGAUUUGGCGUGUGCGUAAAAGUUUACUGCGGAGGACUAACGAUUGUCUGUACCAUCAGAGCACCGUAUUCAGUGUUACUAUAACGGCUUCACACUUAGACAUUAUUACAUCGAACUAGUAUUCAUUUUCUAGGCUGUCACUUGCAAAACGUUGCGCCCUAACAUCAUCAACUCCGAGAAAUGAACACAGCGACCCCAGGGAGUUAUCCGAUGGCUUCUCUCUAUGUCGGCGACCUGCACCCUGAUAUCACGGAGGCUAUGCUGUAUGAGAAAUUCAGCCCUGCCGGACCAGUCCUGUCAAUUCGGGUUUGUCGUGACAUGAUUACCCGGCGCUCACUGGGCUAUGCCUAUGUGAACUUCCAGUCACCGCCUGACGCUGAGAGAGCAUUGGACACCAUGAACUUUGACGUGGUCAAAGGGAAGCCCAUCAGAAUCAUGUGGUCACAGAGAGACCCUUCACUCAGGAAAUCUGGAGUCGGAAAUGUUUUCAUCAAAAACCUGGACAAGUCCAUUGACAACAAGGCCCUGUAUGACACUUUCUCUGCCUUUGGAAACAUCUUGUCCUGCAAGGUGGUGUGUGAUGAAAAUGGAUCCAAAGGAUACGCGUUUGUGCACUUUGAGACACAAGAUGCCGCCGAUCGUGCCAUCGAGAAGAUGAACGGCAUGCUUCUGAACGACCGCAAGGUGUUUGUGGGACGCUUCAAGUCUCGGAAAGAGAGAGAAGCAGAGCUCGGUGCCAAAGCGAAGGAAUUCACAAAUGUCUACAUCAAGAACUUUGGAGAAGAUAUGGAUGACGAAAGGCUGAAAGAACUUUUUGAUAAAUAUGGUCCGACUCUGAGUGUGAAGGUCAUGACUGACUCAACAGGAAAAUCAAGAGGUUUUGGGUUUGUCAGCUAUGAGAAACAUGAAGACGCUAAUAAGGCAGUGGAGGAGAUGAACGGGACAGAACUGAAUGGGAAGGCUGUAUUUGUGGGACGGGCCCAAAAGAAAAUGGAGAGACAGGCGGAGCUGAAGAGGAAGUUUGAGCAACUGAAGCAGGAGAGGAUAAGCAGAUACCAGGGAGUAAACCUUUACAUCAAGAAUUUGGAUGACACCAUUGAUGAUGAGAAAUUGCGGAAAGAGUUCACACCAUUUGGUUCCAUCACCAGUGCGAAGGUGAUGCUCGAGGAGGGACGCUCCAAGGGCUUCGGCUUCGUCUGCUUCUCCUCCCCAGAGGAGGCCACCAAGGCCGUGACGGAGAUGAACGGCCGCAUCGUGGGCUCCAAGCCCCUCUACGUGGCUCUGGCCCAGCGCAAGGAGGAGCGCAAGGCCCACCUCACCAAUCAGUACAUGCAGCGCAUCGCUGGCAUGAGGGCCAUGCCUGCCAAUGCCAUCAUCAACCAGUUCCAGCCUGCCAGUGGCUACUUCAUGCCAGCCGUGCCCCAGGCUCAGAACAGGACCACCUACUACGCACCCAAUCAGCUUGCCCAGAUGCGGCCAAACCCACGCUGGCAACAGCAAGGUGGCAGAGGACAAGGCAGUUUCCAGGGUAUGCCCAACUCCCUGCGCCAACCCGGUCCUCGCGCCAGCCUGAGACACUUAGCGCCCAAUGCCGGUCCCCAGGGCCCGCGCGGCAUCCCUGCUGGAGGCCAGAGAGUCGGGAACCCUGGGCAACCAAUGGGUCCUCGCCCCUCCAUGGGCAUGACCGCCCCUCGUGCCAUGCCACCAUAUAAAUAUGCCACCACAGUUCGCAACACACAGCCACAGGUGGUGCAACCCAUUGCCUUACAACAGACUCAGCCAGCAGUCCAUGUUCAGGGUCAGGAGCCCCUCACCGCCUCCAUGCUUGCCGCUGCGCCUCCCCAGGAGCAGAAACAGAUGCUGGGUGAACGCUUGUUCCCACUGAUCCAAGGCAUGCAUCCCAGCCUGGCAGGGAAGAUUACUGGGAUGCUGCUGGAGAUCGACAACUCUGAGCUACUGCACAUGUUAGAGUCCCACGAGUCUCUGCGCAGCAAGGUGGAAGAGGCUGUUGCUGUGCUCCAAGCACACCAGGCUAAAAAAGACAUCACUCAGAAAGUUGGAGUCAAUCCUACACCAGCAGCUGCCUCCUCAUGAUGUGUAAGAGGGGGAAAAACACGUUACAGAUCAAAACCUGUUCUCUACACAUAUGCUGUGCUGUCUGGCACUCCUCGUUUACAGUCUUGGUGACAAAGGUGGUGCCUGUGUUUCAAAAACAAGUGGACCGAGCAGAAGUCACCACCAAUUGAACAACCAAAUAAAAAGAGAGAAAAAGAAAAAGAAAAAGAAAUACAAAAAUACAAAAAUAUACUUGCAAAAUGUAUUACAGAUCUGAUUUUCAGUUCUGUGAUUAUUUUUGAUUGCAUACAGCUUCCUUAAAGAUGAUAAAAAUGGAGGUUUUCCUUUCAAACUGAAAAAACUCCACAUGGUGGCUAGGAGGACAGGCAUUUUGUUUUCUAAAAAGAAAAAAACAAACACCUUUUUUUUUCUCCUUCAUUUUGAGAGUUGUGUGUUUGCUGGUUUGGUUGGUACUAUUGGAUUUUCCAUCCCCAGACAAUACCCUGGAUGGUGUGGCAAUCUAAAUAAAGGGAUGCAGCACCUGA